AGUGAACGCUGGCGGUAGGCCUAACACAUGCAAGUCGAACGGCAGCACAGUAAGAGCUUGCUCUUACGGGUGGCGAGUGGCGGACGGGUGAGGAAUACAUCGGAAUCUACUUUUUCGUGGGGGAUAACGUAGGGAAACUUACGCUAAUACCGCAUACGACCUACGGGUGAAAGCAGGGGAUCUUCGGACCUUGCGCGAUUGAAUGAGCCGAUGUCGGAUUAGCUAGUUGGCGGGGUAAAGGCCCACCAAGGCGACGAUCCGUAGCUGGUCUGAGAGGAUGAUCAGCCACACUGGAACUGAGACACGGUCCAGACUCCUACGGGAGGCAGCAGUGGGGAAUAUUGGACAAUGGGCGCAAGCAUGAUCCAGCCAUACCGCGUGGGUGAAGAAGGCCUUCGGGUUGUAAAGCCCUUUUGUUGGGAAAGAAAAGAAGCAGGUUAAUACCCCGCUGUUCUGACGGUACCCAAAGAAUAAGCACCGGCUAACUUCGUG
rnacentral:rRNA from 1 species